ACUCUAAGCGGUGGAUCACUCGGCUCAUGGGUCGAUGAAGAACGCAGCAAACUGUGCGUCAUCGUGUGAACUGCAGGACACAUGAACAUCGACAUUUUGAACGCAUAUCGCAGUCCAUGCUGUUAUGUACUUUAAUUAAUUUUAAAGUGCUGCUUGGACUACAUAUGGUUGAGGGUUGUAAGACUAUGCAAAAUAAGUUGUUCAUAAAUUUCAUUUCAUGAUUUUUAUAAGCACAUGGUAUAUUAUUGGGUAUAAUAAUUAUUAAUUGUUAUAUUCAUAAUAUUAAAAAUUAUAUGAAAAACAUUAUUCUCACAUUGUUGUAAAUAUUUGAAUGUGAAAACGAAGAGAAAUAUUUUCUUUUUUUUUAAAUCAAAUAAUACUGAGAAAUGUCUAGCAUAAAAAAUGUGAAAAUAUUUUUCAUCUAGAAUUGUCUCUUAUUAAUGAUGCAAAAAAUCGAAAAAUGUUGCUAAUGUUAUUAUUCUUCGUUUGGUUUGUUAAAAAAUAUAACAAAUUUAAAUAUAUAAUGUUUUCUCUAUAUAAAAAGAAUUAAUGCUAAUAAAUGUUUUAUACAACCUCAACUCAUAUGGGACUACCCCCUGAAUUUAAGCAUAUUAAUUAGGGGAGGAAAAGAAACUAACAAGGAUUUUCUUAGUAGCGGCGAGCGAAAAGAAAUCAGUUCAGCACUAAGUCACUUUGUCUAUAUGGCAAAUGUGAGAUGCAGUGUAUGGAGCGUCAAUAUUCUAGUAUGAGAAAUUAACGAUUUAAGUCCUUCUUAAAUGAGGCCAUUUACCCAUAGAGGGUGCCAGGCCCGUAUAACGUUAAUGAUUACUAGAUGAUGUUUCCAAAGAGUCGUGUUGCUUGAUAGUGCAGCACUAAGUGGGUGGUAAACUCCAUCUAAAACUAAAUAUAACCAUGAGACCGAUAGUAAACAAGUACCGUGAGGGAAAGUUGAAAAGAACUCUGAAUAGAGAGUUAAACAGUACGUGAAACUGCUUAGAGGUUAAGCCCGAUGAACCUGAAUAUCCGUUAUGGAAAAUUCAUCAUUAGACUUGUAGUAUUUAAACAAUAUUAUGAUAAUAGUGUGCAUUUUUUCCAUAUAAGGACAUUGUAAUCUAUUAACAUAACUAAAUUUAUCAUAAAAUAUGGCUUAUAGUUUAUUCAAAUUAUUAUGCUUGCAUUUUAACAUAGAAUAAAUGUCAUUAAUUUGAUAAAGUGCUGAUAGAUUUAUAUGACUACAGUGCGUUAAUUUUUCGGAAUUAUAUAAUGGCAUAAUUAUCAUUGAUUUUUGUGUUUAUUAUAUGCACUUGUACGAUUAACAAUGCGAAAGAUUCAGGAUACCUUCGGGACCCGUCUUGAAACACGGACCAAGGAGUCUAACAUAUGUGCAAGUUAUUGGGAUAUAAACCUAAUAGCGUAAUUAACUUGACUAAUAAUGGGAUUAGUUUUUUAACUAUUUAUAGCUAAUUAACACAAUCCCGGGGCGUUCUAUAUAGUUAUGUAUAAUAAUAUUUAUAUUAUUUAUGCCUCUAACUGGAACGUACCUUGAGCAGAUAUGCUGUGACCCGAAAGAUGGUGAACUAUACUUGAUCAGGUUGAAGUCAGGGGAAACCCUGAUGGAAGACCGAAACAGUUCUGACGUGCAAAUCGAUUGUCAGAAUUGAGUAUAGGGGCGAAAGACCAAUCGAACCAUCUAGUAGCUGGUUCCUUCCGAAGUUUCCCUCAGGAUAGCUGGUGCAUUUUAAUGUUAUAUAAAAUAAUCUUAUCUGGUAAAGCGAAUGAUUAGAGGCCUUAGGGUCGAAACGAUCUUAACCUAUUCUCAAACUUUAAAUGGGUAAGAACCUUAACUUUCUUGAUAUGAAGUUUAAGGUUAUGAUAUAAUGUGCCCAGUGGGCCACUUUUGGUAAGCAGAACUGGCGCUGUGGGAUGAACCAAACGUAAUGUUACGGUGCCCAAAUUAACAACUCAUGCAGAUACCAUGAAAGGCGUUGGUUGCUUAAAACAGCAGGACGGUGAUCAUGGAAGUCGAAAUCCGCUAAGGAGUGUGUAACAACUCACCUGCCGAAGCAACUAGCCCUUAAAAUGGAUGGCGCUUAAGUUGUAUACCUAUACAUUACCGCUAAAGUAGAUGAUUUAUAUUACUUGUAAUAUAAAUUUUGAAACUUUAGUGAGUAGGAAGGUACAAUGGUAUGCGUAGAAGUGUUUGGCGUAAGCCUGCAUGGAGCUGCCAUUGGUACAGAUCUUGGUGGUAGUAGCAAAUAAUCGAAUGAGACCUUGGAGGACUGAAGUGGAGAAGGGUUUCGUGUGAACAGUGGUUGAUCACGAGUUAGUCGGUCCUAAGUUCAAGGCGAAAGCCGAAAAUUUUCAAGUAAUAAAAUGACUAUAUAUUACAAAAAUGCCAAUUAAUAUACUUGAAUAAUUUUGAACGAAAGGGAAUACGGUUCCAAUUCCGUAACCUGUUGAGUAUCCGUUUGUUAUUAAAUAUGGGCCUCGUGCUCAUCCUGGGCAACAGGAACGACCAUAAAGAAGCCGUCGAGAGAUAU
rnacentral:rRNA from 1 species